rnacentral:tRNA from 1 species
GACGCUGGAGCCAGACGGUAAGGCGGCUGCCUGCAAAGCAGCUUCAAGUGGGUUCGACUCCCACCGGCGUCU